rnacentral:rRNA from 1 species
GUCUACGACCAUACCAUGCUGAACAUACCGGUUCUCGUCCGAUCACCGAAGUCAAGAAACAUAGGGCCUGGUCAGUAUUGGAUGGGAGACCGCCUUUGAAUACCGGGUGUUGUAGGCA